AUGCUCCGGGUUCUCUUCCGAGCGUAUAAAUCUUUCGCCUUUUAAUAAAGAUUUCCGUGGAGAGGAACAGGCACGAGUGUCGACGAAUUUUUCGAGGCUCCAUUUCGGAGGAGCG
rnacentral:snRNA from 1 species